CCCGUCGUCCCGUUCUGCAUCGCUGGAGUUUUCUGAUCCGCAUGGUUAUGUGAACAAGUGUAUUUUAUUAGGUGUAACAUGGACUUAUAAGUCCCUGUAAACAAACAGGUAGGGACUCGGGACUUAUAAAUCCCUGUAAACAAACAGGUAGGAACUUAUGACUUAUAAGUUGGGACUUAAAAAAGUCCUACGACUUAUGAAACAAACAGGGCCU
rnacentral:lncRNA from 1 species